rnacentral:rRNA from 1 species
AACGAACGCUGGCAGCAGGCUUAACACAUGCAAGUCGAACGCCCCGCAAGGGGAGUGGCAGACGGGUGAGUACCGCGUGGGAACAUACCCUUUUCUACGGAAUAGCUCUGGGAAACUGGAAUUAAUACCGUAUACGCCCUACGGGGGAAAGAUUUAUCGGGGAAGGAUUGGCCCGCGUUGGAUUAGCUAGUUGGUGGGGUAAAGGCCUACCAAGGCGACGAUCCAUAGCUGGUCUGAGAGGAUGAUCAGCCACAUUGGGACUGAGACACGGCCCAAACUCCUACGGGAGGCAGCAGUGGGGAAUAUUGGACAAUGGGCGCAAGCCUGAUCCAGCCAUGCCGCGUGAGUGAUGAAGGCCUUAGGGUUGUAAAGCUCUUUCACCGAUGAAGAUAAUGACGGUAGUCGGAGAAGAAGCCCCGGCUAACUUCGUG